rnacentral:rRNA from 1 species
CCUACGGGGGGCUGCAGUGGGGAAUAUUGCACAAUGGGCGAAAGCCUGAUGCAGCAACGCCGCGUGAGUGAUGAAGGUCUUCGGAUUGUAAAGCUCUGUCUUUGGGGACGAUAAUGACGGUACCCAAGGAGGAAGCCACGGCUAACUACGUGCCAGCAGCCGCGGUAAUACGUAGGUGGCGAGCGUUGUCCGGAAUUACUGGGCGUAAAGGAUGCGUAGGCGGAUAUUUAAGUCAGAUGUGAAACUCCCGAGCUUAACUUGGGAACUGCAUUUGAAACUGGAUAUCUAGAGUGCGGGAGAGGAAAGUGGAAUUCCUAGUGUAGCGGUGAAAUGCGUAGAGAUUAGGAAGAACACCAGUGGCGAAGGCGACUUUCUGGACCGUAACUGACGCUGAGGCAUGAAAGCGUGGGUAGCAAACAGGAUUAGAUACCCCUGUAGUC